rnacentral:rRNA from 1 species
UACGGAGGAUGCGAGCGUUAUCCGGAUUUAUUGGGUUUAAAGGGUGCGCAGGCGGUCUGUUAAGUCAGCGGUCAAAGCCCGGGGCUCAACCCCAUCCAGCCGUUGAAACUGGGGAUCUAGAGUGUGCGAGAGGUAUGCGGAAUGCGUGGUGUAGCGGUGAAAUGCAUAGAUAUCACGCAGAACCCCGAUUGCGAAGGCAGCAUACCGGCGCUCAACUGACGCUGAGGCACGAAAGCGUGGGGAUCAAACAGG